GUGGAGGGGUUGGAGAUGUUGGCUUUGUGAUUUCGGCAGGAUUUGGACCAUCAGCGGACAUGCCUGGAGGAUGACAGUAGCUGUCUGCGAGCUGAGAUCCAGGAGCUGAAAACCGACUUUAGACCCCUCACAUAAGUGAUCCAUCGUGCUCAACACAUGCUCGGCCUGGAUCCCUGCCUUUGAUCUGCAUAAUAUGCCUCCUCCACCUCUUCAUCUCCCUUCUCCGUUUAUCACAUCAUGUGUGAAUGCAGAACAUCAGUGAAAUGUUGUAGAAGGUUCGCCAUAGUCUCCUGUGUACAACGUGUCCAUGCCAAGAUCCUGCUGCUGUACCUUUAGCCGUGACAAGUCGGCCUGUGCGCCAGCUGUGCCCAUGGGGCAUCAUCGGUCGUAACAAGAGUCGGUGUGCCCGCUUCAGUGCAACCCCAUUGUGGUGUUGGAGGAUAAUAACACUCUGCUUCCUUUUGUCAGUGUGUUUUGCUGGAUGAUAAACACGGGAGGAAGGACCGGCAGAGGAGCUCAGGCUCAAAGAGGUGAGUUUGUGAAAUCACAGCACAGAAGAAGGUGCAGUUGCCUGGUGUG